AUUGAACGCUGGCGGCAGGCCUAACACAUGCAAGUCGAACGAGUGGCGGACGGGUGAGUAAUGUCUGGGAAACUGCCUGAUGGAGGGGGAUAACUACUGGAAACGGUAGCUAAUACCGCAUACCAUCAGAUGUGGCCAGAUGGGAUGAGAUAGUAGGUGGGGUAAAGGCUCACCUAGGCGACGAUGCCUAGCUGGUCUGAGAGGAUGACCAGCCACACGGGAACUGAGACAAGGUCCAGACUCCUACGUGAGGCAGCAGUGGGGAAUAUUGCACAAUGGGCGCAAGCCUGAUGCAGCCAUGCCGCGUGUGUGAAGAAGGCCUUCGGGUUGUAAAGUACUUUCAGCGGGGAGGCGUUACCCGCAGAAGAAGCACCGGCUAACUCCGUGCCAGCAGCCGCGGUAAUUC
rnacentral:rRNA from 1 species